rnacentral:lncRNA from 1 species
GUGGAGAAGACUUUGAAAAUGCCAGAUUUAAAAAAAAAAUCCUAUCAGACAGAAAGAGGGUCUGUCCUUGCCAUGUGAUACAUUGAAUUGAAUAAUUAUAAGAAUAUCAUUUGUAGAAAACCUUAAGUACAUUGUUCCUGCCAAACUUGGUUAAAAUCAGUCAAGUAAUUUCAGAGAAAAAGAUGAUGGACACUAUGUGAUGGUAAUAUAGCUCAUAUUGCCUUAUGUGCCAGGUGAACUAAAGUGUUGUAACAUAUUUGUGUUACUCAAAUGUAAAAAUAGCUAUCACUUCACUAUCAAGGACAAAACUGAAAUCAAUUUCUAUGACAGUAAUAAUAACUAGAGGCUCUCAAGAGCCUGUAUCCCUCACCUGACUUUACUUUGGUUUUUGAAAUCGUAUAAAAAAGAUAAAAUUUGGCUUCAAAGUAACAACACUUAGCCCGCACCUCAAAAAGGAAAGGAACAAACAUGUUUGGUUUCAUUCAAUUCAGUGGUUCCUUAAUAAAAGAAAUUUGUAUGUAUUUCCCAUAGGGUCCUAUGUUAAACUAAGUCCCCCACUGGCAGCCAUCUUGGAUGAUGGAUGGGCUACAAAGGAACAACACUUGGUCAGCACCUCAUAAAGAACAUUCAUGCUAUGUUUGGUUUCAUUCCAUUCAGUGGUUCUCUAAAAGAAGUCAUUUGUAUGCAUUUCCCAUUGGGUCCUAUGUUAAACUAAGUCCCCUGCUGGUGGCCAUCUUGGAUAAAGUAACAACACUUGGUCAGCACCUCAUAAGGAACAUUCAUGACAUGUUUGGUUUCAUUCCAUUCAGUGAUGAAAAAAGCUCACGUGGCCCUUUGGGCCAGGUGAGCUAAAAAAGAAAUAAAAGUACAAUCAUGUAGAUACUUAACUUUUUAUAAAAAUAAAUGAAAACAAAAAAUCCUUUGAGUAUUAAAAUUAAUGUUUUCCCAUUAUGUUCAUUAGAGUUUCAUACCCCAAGAGUGAGGUACUUCCAUUAUGACAAAUAGAUGUAUAUUAAAGAAU